rnacentral:tRNA from 1 species
GUCUCCGUGGCGCAAUUGGUUAGCGCGUCUGACUGUUAUUACAGAAGCUCUUUAAGCUUGUUGCCUUAACAUUGAUCAGGAGGUUGGAAGUUCGAGCCUUCCCGGGGACG